UUCCCCGGUAGCUCAGUGGUAGAGCAAUCGACUGUUAAUCGAUUGGUCGUUGGUUCGAAUCCGACCCGGGGAGCCAC
rnacentral:tRNA from 1 species